CUCUCGAGUUUUCUUUUCUUCUUUCUGCUAGGGUUCUACUUUUUGAGUUUCAUUAUACAGGGAAUAUCAGUGACGAUUCUUUUUGUUUACGGUUUCAUAUUGUUGGUUAAAGAACAAUACUUCGAAACAAAACGCAAAAGCUUGCCAGAAGCCGAAAAACAGUGAAGAUAGUAAUGUUUCCGGUGUUGAAUCUCUUCUGCUUAAAAAGAGUUAAAGAGAUUAUAGAUUUGCUUCAGCAAAAGCUUGAAUCAGUGAUUCAGAUCCCUGUAGAAGAAAACCUAAAUCACUUAUCACCUUUUCAUCUUCAUCUUUGCCUUUGUUCUUAAAAAAAAAAAGAUGUCAUUUACGGUUUGUUGUUUUUCUAUAUUUAUUUUGAUUUGGGUGUUGUUCGACUGAUUUUUUGAUUUGUCUCACUGUGUUUUAGUUUUGCAGGUGAGGGUUCAUUACUUCAUCUCUCUUCACCAGACAUGAUUUAGGUUUCUCUUUUGAUUGGGGUUUCUUAUUUUAGGGUUUUCAGUUGCAACCUAACCAAGAUUAUUGCUUUGUUCCUUUUCUCUGUUCAAUUUUGAUUUUGCUCUUAGUUUCGAAUUAGGAUUUUUAAUUAUUCAUAAUUGUGUUUUGAUUUUGCAGGCAAAUUAAUCUCUCUGCAACAAUCGAUACUCAUAGUCAGCUGCUGAUAUACAUUUUGUUUUGAUUUUAUCACGAAUUUAAUCUAAGCUUGCAGUAUACCCUAACUUUUAACCAUAACAGAGUGCACAUGAACUAUAAGCGAUUCAUUGGUUUUGUAUGAUAUUACAUGCUUUAGCCGUAGAGGUGAACACAUUUUUUCUGCAUGUUUCACAUCAUUAUAGUUGGGAGUCAAAAUUAGAUCCUUUCGAAUUAUAAUAUGGUACCCUGAAUUUUUUUGAUAGGAUUUUUGUUUAUUGUUUGUUCAUUGUAGUCCAUGUACCAUCUGUCUAAGAUAGAUUUUUGUGUUGUCGCUAGAUCGACCGUUCACAAUAUUGCAGUAGGACUGUCUUUGAGGAUGCCAAAAACGAAUUGGUCAAGCACUUCUUCUGGGAUGAAGAUUUCCGGUCCAUCCAGGAUGCAAUUCUACGUAAAAGGAAAGAACUGGGACAGUAAGUUUCCCUUCAUAAUAGGACCUCGAGUAUGGGAGGCAGGAAGAUCAUAUUAGUGUAUCGCUAAGUUGGUGAAGUUUCCCUUCAUAAUAGGACCUCGAAUAUGGGAGGCAGGAAGAUCAUAUUAGUGUAUCGCUAAGGCACAAGCAUUAGUUGCUUCAAAAAUCAUAUAGAUGUUGAUGAACAACGUAGGAGACAGUCAAACUCAUGGUUAUGCCAACCGUACUCAUGAAGAACAACGAAAUCUGCGAUUGAAGCUCGACUUAGAACCAGGAAAGUGCUGCAAUAUGAAUGUUUAACAAAUUGAUUUGGAAAAAAUAAGCUCAGCCCGUGCUUUGCCACUAGCAUCUCCCACAUCCGAAAUCACUGUGAUACUAUGUCGGGCAAAGAUCCAUAGCGUCCAGUUUGAGUUCUUUUUACCGAUACUAUUGGAGAUGCUUCUGCAUUUACUUUUGCUGCCCUAUAGAUUAACGGCUUUGGAGCUUUACCAAAUUGGACAGGGCAACACGAGGUGAAGCCGAGCUUUAUCAAAUCAAAAAUAUGAUUCAAAGAAAACAUGGACCAAAUGAUGGUGGAUGGGUUCGUUGUCCUGAUGGUGGAUGGGUUCGUUGUCCGCCCGGUGCGUAGCGCGCGCACAAAAUCUAGUUUUUACUCUAAUGGGCAGAUUAGCUAACCGAGUAGGAUCAAAAUCUAGUUUUUACUCUAAUGGGCAGAUUAGCUAACCGAGUAGGAUCAGAAUGCAGUAGUAUCAGCCGACAACUUUAUGGCCAGAUUAACUCAUAGGAGUCACCGGACCAAGUUUAACAUGGACAUGUAGUUGGGUGGUGAUUUCCCAAUCCUCGUAUUUUUUUCAUUUGGCAAUUCCUUGUCCCGUAUGGGUCCAUUUGGUCAAAAGGUCAAUCGAAGUUACUAGAUCU